AAGCAAGUCUCCAGUGAAACUCUGUAUAGUGAAACUAUCCAGGAGCCUGCUCUGUGUUUGAAAGACUUUCUUCUUAGAUUUUUAUCCUCUUUCUCUGAAGAACUCCAGAAAUCAGUAAAUACCUAUCAUACUCAGUGGAACCAACACUGAAGAUCUCAGUUUGAAGCACUGGAGCAGGUUGUUCUGAAAGGUCACCAGGAAGCUGAAGAAAUUCUCAGUUAUAGUAAAUGCCUUGAGUAGACAAAUGUAUGCAUACUUUAUUUGUCCACCAAAUUUUUGAAGGAGAGAGAAGACGAAAGAUGUGAAAACAAUUAUGUAACCUAUGAAAGACAGAGAAAGGUAUAUACUAUUUUUAAUAUUUUUAUUUAAGAUUAGAAAUAGAGAAAACGUACUGCCUCCUCAUGUAUCCAUAAGGAAUGUGAACUUUUCCUGUACUCUACAAUCUCACUACAGCCUCUUAAAUUGAUUCUCCAGAGGUGAGGAGGAAUAUGUGAUUGAUCGAUAAGAAGCUGAAUUUAACCUGGCUAUGUACUCACCCUUUGGUGGUGUAGAUUUAUUGAAUAUAAAGACACAUGAUAAGAGGUCUAGCCUCAUAGUCUUGAAUGUCAGUUUUCACACCAAGCUGAUGGUCAACCUGGAGACUAUACCUAGGGUCACAUGGCCCACCUUAGCAAUCCAACUUAAGUGAGCCAGAACAGAAGAGACUUUCCCUAGAUCACAUAUUAAGCCCCACUUCUAAAGCAGAAACAGUUCAUUAGGCAUUCCAUAAAAUUUCAUUCCUUUGGAUUUUCUGCUCAACUAGUGGGAAAAUCAAGUUAGGUAUGGAAUGUGGAAAGGGUUACAUGGCAGGUAUAUCAGUCAGGCUUCUCCAGAGACACAGAACAAAUAGAGAGAGAGAGAGAAAGAGAGAGAGAGAGAUUAUUUUAAAUAAUUGGCUCACACAAUAAUGGAGGCUAGCAAAUCCAAAAUCUUUAUGCUAAGCCAGCAGGCUUGAGACCCAG
rnacentral:lncRNA from 10 species